GGGAAAUCCCGCCUCUUGGCCUGGGGCCACGCCCCGGAAGGCGAGGGAAGUUCGUGGCUGACCAGCUCCCGGAUCCACUCAGCCAGCCGGAGGGCGGGGUGGGUGUUGAUUGUCAGGUCCUACAAGAUCUGCUACCAGGAGGACCCUUACCUCUGAUCUACUCAACCUUCUCUACCUUGCUCAACCUACUUUGGUCACAGUGACACUUGAUGUUAUUCUAACAAGCUAAGCAAGCAUCUUUGUGAAGAAAUUGAAAUGGCCAUUAAACCUUUUGACUUCAUGACCAAGAAUUUUUUUUAAGUAAAGAAACACACACAUAAAAAAAAAAAAGAAUCCAGGCUGAUUCCCAGAUUAAUGGCCUCCAAGGAAAUUUGAAAGGAAGCCUGAAGACUUCUUACUUUGCUGUGCAUCUGCUUCCUGGUCUUGUGUAAGUCCCAAUUCAC